AAUACGAGACGCUACGACGUCGAAGCAGUCGAUGUCAUACUUCCAAGAAAAGCUUGCAAUGUCAUAAACAAAUAAUGCCUGUACCAUAACCGACACAGGUGGGUAGGUAGAGUAUACUAAGGGGCGCGAGAUAACUCUCUCUAAGGAACUCGGCAAAAUGACUCCGUAACUUCGGGAGAAGGAGUGCCUUAUUUAUAAGGUUGCAAUAACAAGAUCCAAGCAACUGUUUAUCAAAAACACAGGUCUCCGCUAAGUCGUAAGACGAUGUAUGGGGGCUGACGCCUGCCCAGUGCCAGAAGGUUAAAGAAGUUGGUUAGCAUCCGCGAAGCUGAUAACUGAAGCCCUGGUGAACGGCGGCCGUAACAAUAACGGUCCUAAGGUAGCGAAAUUCCUUGUCGGGUAAGUUCCGACCCGCACGAAAGGCGUAAUGAUUUGGAUACUGUCUCGGAGAGGGACUCGGUGAAAUAGACUUGUCUGUGAAGAUGCGGACUACCUGCACCUGGACAGAAAGACCCUAUGAAGCUUUACUGUAACUUGAAAUUGAAAUUGGACUUUAUUUGCGCAGUAUAGGUGGGAGGCGUUGAGAAUAUUCUUGCGGGAAUAUUGGAGCCAUCAGUGAGAUACCACUCUUGUAAUGUUAGAUUUCUAACUUUGCAUCAUUAUCUGGUCAAAGAACAGUUUCAGGCGGGCAGUUUGACUGGGGCGGUCGCCUCCCAAACGGUAACGGAGGCGUACAAAGGUUUCCUCUGAACGGGUAGAAAUCGUAUCUAGAGUGUAAAGGCAUAAGGAAGCUUGACUGUGAGACCUACAAGUCGAGCAGGGACGAAAGUCGGUCUUAGUGAUCUGACGGUGCUGAGUGGAAAGGCCGUCACUCAACGGAUAAAAGUUACUCUAAGGAUAACAGGCUGAUCUCCCCCAAGAGUUCACAUCGACGGGGAGGUUUGGCACCUCGAUGUCGGCUCAUCGCAUCCUGGGGCGGUAGUACGUCCCAAGGGUUGGGCUGUUCGCCCAUGAAAGCGGUACGCGAGCUGGGUUCAGAACGUCGUGAGACAGUUCGGUCCAUAUCCGGUGUAGGCGUUAGAAUAUUGAGAGGAGCCUUCUUUAGUACGAGAGGACCGAGAAGGACAUACCUCUGGUGUACCAGUUAUCGUGCCAACGGUAAACGCUGGGUAGCUAUGUAUGGAGAGGAUAACCGCUGAAAGCAUCUAAGUGGGAAGCCCACCUCAAGAUAAGUAUUCU
rnacentral:rRNA from 1 species